rnacentral:lncRNA from 1 species
CAGAGUACUGGUUCAAAUAUUUCAACUCUACUUGCAAUUGGAUCACGUAUCUGUCUUGGAAUUUUUUUUUCUUGGAAAUUUAUUAUAGUUAUACUAUGAUUGAGUGUUUUUUCAAGUUAUUCUACUCUACUUAGAGAUAAAGAAGAGACGUAUGCUUAUUUGUCUUCUUGAUUCUCAUAAAGUAUAACUUUUUGUUAUUUUUUUGGUUUGUCACCUAUUUGAAUGAUUGCCAACUUAUUUGAAACUUGUUUUUAGAACCCCAUUAACUAAUUCCAUCUUGAUUUUCUUUAAUAUUCUGAAGAAUGGUUCCUGACUAGUUAGGAAAUUGUGCAAAUCAUUAAGUAAGAGUUGAAGGAAAAAAAAAAUAUAAAGGUGAAACAUCAUGAACAAUAUUGAAAAUAUUCAAUUGGAACUAGAGAAGAAAAUUUCAACUUGAUUACUUGUUGUAAAAGUUUUUUUCAAGGAGUAGGAAGGACAAUAUAAACAAAUAUCAUAGCUUUGAAGUUGUUGUGACUUUUUCUUGUUAUUGCUUACAAUUUUCAUUGAAAUUUUCAUUGUAAUUUUUGUAUUUUUAAAAAAUUGUUUUUUUUAAAAAAUAUAUGCAAUAAUAGGUUUGAUUCAUUUCAAAAAAAAUGUAGAGACCAAUAAUUGUAAGGUCAAUAAUGGUAGAAUUUAUUUUAAAUAAUUAUAAGGAAAUUAUCAAAGUUAUACUAUUUUCUUGUGCCUCUAUAAUAAAAAAAUUUAAAUUUUUAGUUCAUGUUAGAAACGAUAGAGUAGAUAAAAACUUUCCUUUCUUGCUAUCCUAUAUGACAAUCAGGAUAAUUAGGUGGCAACAAUAACAUCUUUAUGGGAUUAAAAUUGGAAAGUGAAUCAAAUUGGGAAUAUUUUUUUAGAAAAGUGUUAUUUUGGCAAAAAAUUCAAUUUUAGAUAGUGAACUACGUCUGCUGCUAAUGUAGUUGCUUGUCGAGCAUUUGACAAAGUGACACCAUCCAUUUCAAAUAGAAUUUGUCCUGUGAACACACGAGCAACUCAACCCAUAUGAUUUCCUUUUCCUCUUCCCAUUCUUACUUAGUACUCCCGUAGGUUUCUCAAUAAUAGGGAGAUCUGCGAGAACUCUUACGCAUGUCUUACCAUUUCUUUAGAAUAGUCUGCUCAUAGCAGUACGGAAGUGUCCAAUUAUAGCACGCGCUGCUUCAAUGGCUCGAUAUGAAAGAAGACCUUUUUUUUUUAAUCAAAGGAUGAUCUGACACCUCCUUUAAUUUUUUUUUUUUUCACUAUAGAUAGAAUUCGAACCCCAUUUUUUUUUUUCACUAUAGAUAGAAUUCGAACCUCGAACCUACAGUUCAAAGAAAAAGCUCAGUGGCUGAUAUGAAAGACAACCUAGCUCUACAACUUUUAGUGCCAUAUCUUCCAAAAUCAAGUUAUGGACGGAGCUUAUGGUCUUGUUGCUUAGGAAGGGCCGAGCUAUCCAUAAACAUAUAAAUGCACGCACACACUUAUUUUUCCUCCUUCAACACUUACCUUAUUUAAUAAGCCAAAAACCUCUUUUGUAGAUAGAGCCAUCUAAGUAAUGCUUAAUAGACACCCGUUAAGAUGUAAUUAAGGUGCUAAAUUUUUUACAAAGUAAAAUUAAUUAAGAAAAGUAUAUAAAUACAAGGUAGAACAACAAUUGUAGGUUGAGUAUGAAUUAAGUGCAUUAAUGAGAGCUCGCUAGGCACCUGUUCAAAAAAAACCCUUGUGAAGAUUGCAAGACAAGCCCCAUAAAAUCAUAUAUAAGAUGGAGAGCAUGUUCAGCACAAAAUGUCAUGUCAGACUAAGCUGUACUAAUACAGCAUUAAAAAGAACCCAAAAGAAAUUACCUGCAAACAUUAAUCACUAAUAUUUACAAAAACCAAUUCAGUUGCGCUACAUUUUCCAUGACCUAAAGGUUAGCGCGUAUCAACAACAGGUAGUGGGAUCAUAUUACAGAAACUUUAGCCAUCAUUUUACUAGAAGGCUCAGCAUAAGACACUGCAACUUUUUUAACAAUCACACCUCAACAUUGGCUUUGUUCCCAGCUAAAAUAAGAGAGAUCUCCAAUCCACGACUGAAUGCUUGGUUAAAGAGGAGACGAGAUUGGAAAGUGGAGAUGAAUGGGAACCAAGAUAACAUUGCAAUUGGGGCGAAAAUAAUCAUACCCAUCCCGGCAUCAUACAUUCGAGCAAACUCCUUGACUGAUUCCCAGAGUCCUAAACUCCUCACUACUCUCUUCCACGUGAUAGCAAGCUGUGUCAACACAACAAAUACAAUUUAUGAACUCGAGAUAUAAUCAUAUACAAAAGAACGUGACGAAUCUGGCAUUCCUGACAUCCCCUGGAAAGUGCAAACAAAUCUAAAGCACCUAAACUAAUGAACUGAUUUAUGGCGGUAUACCACCACAUAAUAAAGUCAUAAUUGUUCGAUUUACCUAAAGAAGUAUUAAUAAUUGCACUCAUAGGAGGAAAAAAUUAGCAUGUUUCAACUCAAUUUACUUACACAUAUGAUGAGCCAUCCAGUAGCAAUAAAUGCAAGGAUGCUAGCAAACAAGUCUGGAACAGAGAGUUUAGUGAACACCACGACAAGGACUAGGGCUGCAAUAAGCGCCAAGGCUGUAACUCCCUGAGUGAAUCGGAGCAUCAGCUGGAAGUUUGUGGAUUUUUUAGGGGUAAAAGUAAAUAUCUGCAAAAGGAAAAGACAAUGAAUUAUUGGUACCUAAGACAGCAGAAAAAGAACAACUAGUAUGCUGUAUACCACACAAUAGAGAAAACUUCGAGGCAUAAAAGAAAAUUUUCAUCAAGGCACAAACCUUGAAGAUCAAGACUAUUCCAACAAGUACGACCCAAGAGAAGCCAUAGAUCUGAAGAAUGAGAGGAGAUGUUAAGAUCAAUGAAAAGGAGAAAAAAGAAAAGAGAAGGAAAAAAAAAAAUCAACUAUUGAUGCAACUGGAAUUAAUUAUGCAAACCUCACAAGCAUAUCACCUAAGACAUCAUAUUUACGAAGAUGUGGAAAGUGCUAAACAUUGGAUAUCAGACAAAGAAAGGCACCAUAGGGGAAAACUUUCGCUUGUUCAGGUCCUUCUUAAAGAGAUACGUGAUAACAUCAUUUCCAACUAAGCAUCAGAAAAAAAUAAGUAUCCAAUCUUGCAGGUUUGCUGUUCACAAUAGCCAAGUCCUCAAUCUACUAUUAGCAGUAAGGGAACAAACCAAAUUUUCCCUUCUCAGUAUCAGAAUAUGGGACUGCUAGAAACCAGUUCUUCGCUUUUAGGUUGAGAUAAUUGUGCGGCAUAAGAACUAAAAUGUCUCACAUCAUAAUGAAAGGUUAUAUUCUGAUUUCAGAAACUGGGUUUCCACUCUGGAUGAGCUGGCAUAAGAACCAACUAAGUGGAAGCAGUCAGGGCCAAUGAUUAGAAAUGGUAAGACAAUUUAUCACCAAUUCCCAAAAUUUAACAAAGUUCACAGAAUAAGUAAUAUAUUAUCAUUAAUUAAGCUAUCAAACUAAAAAAUCUAACUUAGUAUAAUAGAAACAUUUGCCAAGAAAGCUUAGAAAAGUAUUACCGCAAGUGAAGUGUGCUUCCCAGUUAGAUUAAGUUUGUAUACAAUGCCAUACUGAAACAUGAGAAACCUCGAGCUCAACAUGGUCUCAAGUAUACGACCUCUCCAAGUCUGGAUAUGCAUCUGUGGCAAAAAAAGACACAGAAAAACUUUGAAUGAGAAGAGAGAAAACGAAGGGUAAACAUAAUGAUGUUCUCCUCCUAGUCCUAGACACUUCUCCACUCCAAAUAGUAAAAAAGAAGGGAGCCUAGAGCAUAAGCUCAAAGAAAGGCCUUGCAUGUGAAAAAAUAGUAAUGAGCAUAUUAAGUCAAAUCAAUGUGAUUGCAAAGUAACAAAUAAACCUGUUUUAUGGAAGAGGGCACCCCGGGCGAGGAGGGGAGGGAUGGAGGGAGGGGUAUAGGGUCGAAGCAGAACUCCAACAGAAAAUAUAAAGACAGGCUUGUUAAGCAAAACAUAGCUCAUGUGCAACUUUAUGUGGAUUGAAAAUGGUACAAUUUGCGUUGCUACUAAACAUAGAAAAACAUUCGCGUGGGGGAGGGGGGUGGGGGUGGUGUUGGAGGGGGCUGGGGGAAAAAUCUCAUACGAAACCUGUUCUUCAUCCCACCAAGACUCCCAGCUAUUGUCACCCUUAACACCAACUCCGCCUUUAUACAUAAGCCAGCUUGUCCAAUCAUCAAAAUCCUCUACAGUCCUGCACAGAACAUGCAAAGUCUGUAAAAAUUACCAAGAAAAAGAUGAGCACCUUAAUUGCUCACAGAUUAAAAGGAUUAAGAGAAACUUCACUAAGAAAAUUAUUAUUUAUUCAUUUCAGCAGUGGUUAACACCUUUGAAGAUGCAUUACAAUGCCUUCUAUUCUUGUUAUGAUCUUAAUUCAGAUUGAUUCAGGUCUGUUGGAUUAAGCUCACUUUAUUUUAAUAUUGUCAAGGUACUUAGUAAUACUCCUGGAAUUCCAUGACUUUUACAGAAAGUAAUUAAUCUGCUCAUCCAAUAGAUGGGUCCUUGUAGGAAUUAAUGUCUUAGCUGGAGCAAGGUUCAGUUUUAGGAGUUUAGAUUUGUAAGAUCUCUCUUUCAAUUAUUUGAAAUAUAAUUCUUUGCAAUGAAGUAUACUCUUCUGGAUAUCCAUCUCAUAUUGGAUGCCAAAGUCAGGCUGCAGGUCAGUCAGCCAGUGAGGCUAGUUCCCUAUCUAGCCUUCUCCUAUUCUAAGCGAUCCAGUUACCAGUUUGAUUCCAUAUUACUGCCAAAAUCGUCCAUUGUUUUGGCCUUGAAACCUCUCUGAAGCUUAGUCGUAAAACCUUAGAGAAUGUCUUAGUUAUUCAUUCUGAAACCCAUUUUAGGUCCAUUUCAGGGGACACCGAUUAAGGUUGUCUAAAGCUCGUGCAUCAGAUUAAUUAUCAGAUUACCUAACAUUCCAUUGCAGAAAAAGAAUAAAAGAAAACACCUAUUAAAAAAUCCAUUCAAGCUAAACAAUACUAUAAAGGAAAUCUUACUUUUGCCAUUCAAAUCCUGAUGGGUUGAAGAUAUAAGGAGCAAAGAGCCAAGAGAUUACGAGGAACCAACUGCUUAGAGUAAUAAGAACAAAUGAAACACCACCUCCGUCUAUAUACCCAUAGGCAAUGUAAACAAUAAGAAGCAAUGCUAUUUCCAGCCUGCAGACAUGUUUAUAAACAACAAAAUAAGUAACUCAGUUUAAUAGACCGAAGAAAUAUACAUUUGAAAGGGCAGUCUGAUUAAAUAAAUGUAACUCACGCCUUAACAAAAUGGCUUCUUGAAUAAAGCCGAUAAUUCUCAGCAAACUUGAUGUGUCGGACAACAAAGCCUCUUCCAGUAGCUCGAUACUGUUGAGUUUAUUGAAAGAUACAUGAUCAACCAUAUCCAUACCAUAAACGUAAUUAUCAACUAUAUCCUAUAUACCUCUCUGCACCUCCAUGAAGGAUAGUAGAACAUUGAAAGAAAAACAAUCAACUAUAUCAAUGCCAUAAAACAAAAUUAUCAGAUAUGUCCUAUAUACCUUUGCACCUCCAUGAAGGAUAGUACGCCCAAAAUAAUGAGUUCUAGUUCCUAAAGAAAACGUGAAGAAGACAGAACAAAGCUGAAGCUGCAUGGUAAUGAAAUCGAAUAUAGCCUGAAAAAGUAUAACAUAGAACAUAUGUUAGUGUAGCUUCAAGUUGUAAAACAAGGAUGAUACAUUAGACAUGCUAUGUGAGAUAAAGUAAAUUAGGGAUCAGAACACUUGAAAAAUGAGAAUAUGCUGGAUAUAAGAAGAAAGCAAUUAGAAAAAUAUGAGGCAGAAAUCUGUUAAGGGAGGAGAAAAUAGAUGAUGGGAAAACCUUCAACAAGCCCCGCUCUAGUAUGAAGCCCACUACCAUAGGAACAGCAGUGAAAACCCCAAUUUGGACCAAGAAUUGAGCAUUUAGAGCAGCAUCUAAAGCAGUGUUACCAAGCAGUUUAGCUUCUCUUGAAAUUCCUCGAUCUACUCCAGAGAAAGCCUGAAUAAUUUCAGAGAAAAGAUGCUGAUCAAAUUGUUGCAUAUAUUAAACACCAGUAGCUAAACUGACCAACAGAUGAUCCCAACUGAACCAAUAGACAUGUAAACUUGAAAAAAACCAAUGCAUUAAAGAAACUAAUCCCCAAGUAUCUUGAUGCACGUGAAUUCUUCUACUUGCUUUAUUGCGAAACACAAGAGCUAAAUUGCUGAGCAGACAAAGAAAGUGUAACUUCAGUUCUGACAUCCAAUAAUUUCCAUCUCUUAGUAAGGCUGAAUCACACCUAAUAUGGGCUUGUAAUCUUUGGAUGCAUGUUGGUAAAGAACCCACUCAGCUACCAAGACGACCAAGUAAAUGGAGCUAGCAACCCCUUCUAGAUCUUUAUUACUAAAAACACAAGCAUUAAUCUUAUGGACAAAGAGACAUACAGACAGACAGACUCAGACACACACAAAAGAAAUGUAUCAUGGUACUUAACAUAGUACAGCUAUUUCCACAGAAGUCAUCGUAGUUCCCUCAUAUAAGAUUACAAUCUCACAAGUUACUGAAAACAGAUGCACUUGCUCUAAAUUCUAAAAAUUUAACUCUAGAAAGACAGAGUCAGUCUCCAUCUGUUGAACUAUCAGAUUAAUAAUAGCAUGAAGUAGUAGUAAAACUUACCAGAUAUGCUCUUCCAUAGAGAAAUAUAUAAAUUGUAAGAACAGUCAUCUGCAAUAGAAGAAAAGAGUUAUGAGGCAAUGCAUAUUUUCUGCACUAUGCACUAAAUUUAGACACAAGGUGCUGCAAAAGUUGCAUAUGGAAAAAAAUACCAUAGUGCAAACAUAAAAACCAACUGUCGUGAAGUAGAAAGACAGCAUUCUAAAGAAAUCGAGUAAUUGUCCCAGCCUAUACACAUCCCUGCUCAGAACUUGCUCUCCAUUUCCACCAGCCACCUUGCCUUCAAAUAAGGCAAUUUGGUUUAAACCAACAUCUCUUCCCUUUCCAACCUACACAAUUACCAAGUAAUAAGAUCACAAGGAAAGAGCAACACUGGCAAUUAAAAUGCGUACCUUCAAUGAGUAAAUAAAAGAUCAACUGUCGCACCUGAAUAUACUCAUGGUGAGUAAUAUUUCCCUGCCUAAGUGUGGAAUUAAACCCUAUAUAUGUGGAAAAAAUCUGUUUAGAGAGGCAUGCAAUACACAGGUAAAAGCACGGCAAGAAAAUGCUAAAAGGCUAAAUUCUGAUGCAGAAAAAAAUGCACUGCUGAAGAUCAAUAAAAAAAUUUGCACAAGAACUAGCAAGCAGUUGACAAGUUUACUGUGUAAGAUUCUUAAUCAUAUCCCUUUUAUGGUAAAAAAAUGUAACUCAUUAGCAAUCGGUAAUAAAUGAUUAAACAAAUAAAAUAAAUGGGACUAGAAAUACAAUAAUCUUCCAGAUUAUGCAACAUUACAGCGUGGGCACAUAUUGUUGAGCUUAACAAUAGAUUAUCAAAUUACAUUUUUUGCCAGCAGUAUGAAUCCCCACAAGCAGCAGAUAAGGUUUAGCAGGUUAAUAUGAUAUUUGAGCCGUCAACAAAAACUUUUAAUAGCCUUCUCCAAACCACCUUUUCGAAACACAGUUCCAGUAGAUUAAAUAGACCCAACAGCAGCUAAGCAAGUUCAUAAUUUUCGAAUGCACACACCUUUUGACUUUUUACAUUAAAAAAAACUCAAAGUUUUGUUUGAAUAAAUCGGUGCUACUCUUCUCUGCAGGCACAAGUCACUUGCUAGGUCAAGAUUUCGAACUCAAAACAAUUGUCUGCUUGUCAAAAAAAAUAAUUUUUUAAUUUAUAAAAGACUUAUUCACAGUAGAGCACUAAAGAAGCAAUUGGCACCACAAGAUAUUCACCACCAUCUUCACUUACCUGCAUAUAUAUCUUCACUGAUGUUAAUUAUGCGCGAUGCCUUACUAAUGCCACCUCGAGUAAUAUGAAAAAUUCGAUCAAAGACGUCUGGAUGACCAUAGUGCAUACGCACUCUGCAAGGUUUUGUUCAGAGUGUUUUGAUAAUUAUAUUCACAUUCUAACUUCAGAAAUUAAAAAAAAAAGAAGAAAUGAACCAGAAAAAAUGCAAUUUAAUAUUGUACUGUGGACUUAUGAUGCAUUACUAAGCAAAUGUAACUGAUAAAUAAUAAAAGUUUCCAACAAUAUAAUAUGCAUAAAGAAGACACCAUACAUCUCAAAACUGGCAAGCACAACAGAGAAAAUAAACUAACUCCAAGUUUAUUUUAUCACCGUUUUAUAAACAAUGUCACCAAAAAGAUAGAAGGGCGAAGAGCUCUUUCCAAAAGAAAAUGAUCCAUCUUCUUGCAGUAGAAAACUUGAUAGAAAAUCUAGGCUUUUUUUUCUAAAAGGUAUACGGCUAGCUGAUUCAACAGGGAAAGGGAAAAUAUAGUUCAAGAAGAAUCCAAUAAAGCAUUUAGUAUUUUUGUAUCCAGGUUAUUUAUCAUCUUUGACCAUUUAGACAUAUUCACAUACACCACGAAUGAAUACAGAUGGAGGAAAAGGAGGAAAAUCUUAAUCACUGACAAAAAAUGGUAAUGUUUUCUGGUGUUGGAAUCUACUGUAAAAAGCAUAUAUACAAGGGAUUGUCCUAGUAAGAGAGACAAAGAUGAUUCAGACACCCAUACUUAAGAUAUAAAUAAGUAAUACACAACACUAACUUUCAAAAAAUCAAAGCCUUGUGAGGUUAUCUUAUUCUUCCCUUGCUAUUAUUCUUCCCACACUUCAGAGGAAUUUUGUCAUAUUCUGAAUUUUGUCAUAUUUUCAAUCUGACAAUGCAAUCCUCCAAUCCAAAAUACCACUUCAGAACUUAUGAUCUCAAUACAGGAAAUAAAAGACAAGGGAAACAAACAAGCAAGCAUAUGCUUGAAGUAACCAUCAUCAACACUGAUGUUUUAUCUUCAAGUCAACCCUAACAUUUGAACUUAUAACCCAAUAUUUUUUUUUCUGAUAACUGGUCAAGUAAUAGCUAAAGCAUUAAAUGGAUCCUACAAACCCAAGGAAAAGGAAUCUUCAAGUAAAGCAGAGCAAUGCCAAAAAAAAAAAGAAAAGGGAACUCAGGAUCUUAUAAGGUAUGAGUGGUGAUCAGCAAAAACCCAAGGAAAAGGAAAAGGAAUCUUCAAGUAAAGCAGAACGUUGUCAAAAAAAAAAAAAAAAAACACGGAACUCAGAUGCAGAAUUGCUGUGAAAGUUUAAAAACAAUGGGUACUUCAAGGAUUUCAACAAAAUUAGGCAGGUAGCCAGCAGUCUCUGCUAGGAAUCUACAACUGAAGGCUAACAAGAGCAGCAUCAAAUUGAUACCAAUGCUGUUGUUUGACUGGACCUCUGUGAGAUAUUCAGAAAGGUGCAGAGGCAAAAUUGCGCUUUUGAUCAAGCACAACAAAACGGCUCUCCAUGCAAAUAUACUUGCUUCUUGUUAAAAAAAUCAAUUCAUUCUGAACUACUUACUUCAGAGGUUUUGCCAAAACGCGUUGGCCCAAGGUCACAAAACUAGUCUCUUGAUUGGACAUGAACAAAGCCAAAGAAGAAACACUGCACACGUGAAACCAACAUACAGCAUAAGGUAUUUAAAUACAAAAUAAAGUGAAGUAUCUUGUAUCAGAAAUCAGGAUGACAAACCUUCCUGUAAAGACAUGCUCCCGUACACCAAGUAUAGUUGGAGGCCGGAGGCCAUGAUUUCCUCGAAAUUCCUCAAGAAGAUUUCUCAUUUUGAUUGCUUCCUCAAGGUAGUUAUCCUGCACAACAAAGAUAUUGAAUAAACAGAAAAAAGCAUAAAAUAGAAAUAAGUUUAUUAGAGGCAUUAAAAGCAAAACUAGAUCAUAAUGGAAACAUGUAAUCAACCCAGACACAAGAAGAGGGGGCCGGGGGGCAGCAGAAAGUACCUGUCAUGCUUAAAAUCAUUAAAUCAUCAGGAUUUGAAUAUGUAUCAAUGGAAAACAAAUUCAGCACCUUCUGUAGAAACUAGACAACCAACUUCAACUUCAAAAACAUUAAAACAACUUUCUUCAACACAUCACAUUUCAGGUUCCAUUUGGAUCAACAGAUUUUAAGGAAUUUACAUGAAUGGAUUUGAAAUUAGUAGAUUUGAAAAUCCACAGUAAUUCAAGUUAUUUUGUUUGGCUAAAAAUUAUCUUAGGAUAGAGGGAUUUAUAAUUUACAAAACUUAUUGGGGUAAAAUUGAAACCUCAAAACUUCAGGGGUUAAUUAUUGAAAAAUUCCAUUUUUUACUUUCUCAUCUCACGUUUGAACUUUAUGCCCUAAUGUUUGAGCAGCUGCGCGGCAUCUUUUCGGCAGCUUUCCAGGCAAUGAGCACCCGCAAUGGUGGCCGUCAUCACAUAAGAACUUGCAUGAAUGUGCAGAUCCCAAAACUACCAUCAAUAACUGUUCACUGCUUUUAGUUCUAUUUUUCAGUAGGCAACGGCAGCAAAGUAUGAGAAGGUGUUGAAUAAAACACUUGCUUUCACUGUCCAAUAACAAGCUGGGAGUUCAGCUUUGCUUCCAAUUUCCAAAUACAUGACAAUCAUUGGAUUGGGGAUCAACACUGAUACGACCGGUCAUAGAUCAAGCACCAAGAAAAGAAAAUUAUAUUAUGUAAGAUGUUUCUUUCAUACUACUAUCCAAGUUGAGUUAAGAAAAUUCCAAAGGGCCAUUUUUGUCAAUAAGGAAUGAGCUAACAAUAACCUUGGAACUCUUACAAAUUCACAAUUUAUUCAUCCAGUGAUGGUGUUCCUUUUGCACUACUAUCUAGAUUGACUUGAGAAAAUUCCAAAGCCAGUCUUUCUAAUAAGGAAUAUGGCUUAUCAAUAACCUUGGCACUUCUACAAAUUAACGACCUAUUGAUCCAGUGACGGUGUACUAUUAAACACUUGAGAAGCUGCUGAGAUAAGUCAAUAUGGUCCAUAUCAAAACACCACCCAUCUAAGCUGGUUUAGAACGAUAGUUGACUGAUCAAAGAAAUGAAAUGAAAUGUGACAGAAACGCUGCAAGUUGAAUGAUUAUGGACAAUCGGGCUAACAUAGUAUCGAGAUAUGCUGUGACUGUCCAAUAUAGUUUAAAGAUAGGCCAUAGAUUAAUAAAUUGGAACCAGUAACCGCUACAUAAGGUUUAUAGUAAAGAGAAUGAACACUAAAUGACCUGAUUCAUGUCAAUUGUUUGAAUAGCAUCCCCUCGGGUGAAAAUUAUGGCAUGGUUCUGGUUCUCUGGCUUUCCUUCCCCAAGUUUUGGAUCUCCAGGGAGUUUAAUGGAGUAUAUUUCCUACACACAAAAGAUCAAUCGCAAAAACUGGUGAAAACAGGACAACAGACUAAUAAAGCGCAAAGGUAAUUGUUAGCAAGCUCAACAAAAUUUUAAUUUCAGAAACAGGGAAAAAUGAAAAAAGAAAACUGAACACAGCAAAAGGACAGCUGGCACACAAAUGUCUACAGAGGCAAGCAGAUACAAAUUACAGCAACGGAAGUUUCCUUUAGUUCUCACAAAUUUUACUGAUUUCAAAAAUGAAAAAGAAAACAAAAAUAUGGAUAAGCCAACUUAGGGUUCUUUGUUCACUCCAAGAUAGUUUAAAUUUGGUACAUAUAAAAAAUACAUUCAGAAGUAUUAUGUACAAAUCCAUAAUAGUCAUUUUAUAUGGUAACAAAUAAUACCAAUGAUUAAUUCUCAAGUUUCCCCAACUUAUCCAGCAACAAGAUUUCUUCAUACAUUAACAAGAAUUUCAACACAGAAAGCAAAAGACUAAAAAGGACUAUCAAAAAUUGCUUUUAAGCCAUUUUAAUACAUCCUUGUAAUACAGAUGACAAAUUUAAUGUGAACCACAUUUAAAAGCAUCUCAAUAUAUCAUGCUAAAGCAUAAUGCAAAUCUCCAAAGACUGAACAUUGUGCUUCAAAUAACAAGACAUAGGCUUGUUGUACUACUUCGAACUCCAGCAAUAAAAUAUCCCCAGAUCAACAUCAAAAAAAAUUUCAAUGCAUCUAUAUUCUAUGAAUACUAAUAAUCAAUCUAAUAAAGGGGAUUUCUGAUGAUGAUUAAAUAAUUACUCAAACUAAGAGUUCUUAUCAACUAUUGUAGAACAGAGGCAUACAAGUAUCUAUAGCCACUGGAUCAUUAAUUUUCAAAAGAAAACGAUAUAUUGAAGAUGUCUGCUAAAAUUGAGUUUGAUAUCAUAUUUAUUGCUAAUCCAUAUGGAAUUGCUAGAGCAUGAUUCACUCUUCAUUUCGCAUCCCCCUCCCCCAAAAUAACCUUUUUCUGAAAGAAAUUGUCACCAGCUUCUAUACAGAAUGUAGAGCAUAAAACUAAAAUCCAUCAUGAGCGGGUGAUGAUAUACAUCUGAAUAUUUUCAUCCAUCUAACCUAUCUUUUAUAAACCCAAGCAGCAAAAUUUUUUGUAAAUGACAUUAAAGUUAGUCUAAUCAACUUCCUCGACUUACGACAAGGGGUUGAUACAAACAAGUGCUUCCUCUCAAUUUCCUGUCAUCUACUAAGUAACUUGCCCUUGAAAGGGAAACAAGCAAGUGCAGGAUGCAUUAAGCACAAAAUCCUCUACCUGAUCCUUCCCAUGAGCAUCAGCUUUUACAAGCUUAGAAUAGAAUUCCUUGGUCACCUUUCCACCGGCUGCACCAAUCUCUUCUGUAUGUAUGAAAGCAACACGAAGAGCCUCAUUCCUAAGCAAGAAAUUGCAGAAGCUUCUCAGCAACAAGAAGCAGAUACGUUCAUUCAAUUAUAAAACUACAACCAGAGACAGAGGAGCAAAGCAAGCUAAUGGAGUGUUCUAUAAACAUCAAUUAAAGAUCAUUCCGCAGUGAGGACUUCCUACCCUUAUAGGAAGAUAUACAAAUGGAUCACUUAAGUGACUAUCUAUCUUACAUUUGUAAUAUAAACAAAUAAAUCAUUAAUAAAAUAUCCACCUUUUUUCUAGCUCUUGGUACCUACUCCACUCAUCCCAUUAUCACUUCAAUAUUUUUAUCUUUUGCAUUUAAAGUUAAAAUUUUCAGGAGUGACAAAUUUAGAGAUAUGCAAUCAUUUACAGCAAAGAGAAACAUGCAGACAUAGCAAAUGCAAUCGUCUUCUGACUUUGUCCAUCUACUGCUUUUGGAUCUUAAUUUUUACAGCUUCAAUGAAAUUACAUAAAUUGCCACUUCACAAAAACAAAACUGCCACUUCACAAACAAAAAGUUAAAUUAAGAAUAUGUCAAAAGGAGACAUAAAAUUUUGGAAAUGAUAAAGUAUGUAAUCAUGAAAGCAUCUCUAUUCUUCAUCCUCAUUCCUUCACCAUACUUUGUCACAUUAAGACCUAUAAAUUACUCUAUUAAAUAUGUUCAUGUAUGAGACAAAAAAUAAGAUGACUAUCAAAGAUGCAACUUCAGUCAAUAAUGGUAUCAAAUCAGUCAAGACCCUAUCACAAAAUGGUCAAUAAUAUGCAGUAAUCAUUCAAUGACUAGUCCUCAAAAAUAAUCUCCUCAGCAUGCUAAAAUCAAUCAGAGCAAACAAAAUUUUAAGAAAUUAAAAGAUCAAUUUUAAGUCAUGCCUUUGCAACAAAAGAGCAAUAUCAGUAGCCUCUGGAGCUUUUCGUUGCUUUUGUUGACCAUAAAUUUGGCAUGAGACCACAUAAGUGAACUUUAUAUCUGCUUGAGCUCGUGCUUCAGGUGACAGUUCAAAGCCUUGAGUCCUUGGGAAACUUGACUGGGGAUAAGCAUCAUCUGAAUAUCCAAUAGGUAACAAGUGAUUCAACAAACAUUUCUACAUCAAACAGAUAAAAAGAAGCAAAUUAUUGACCAACAAAUGCACCUCCAAGAGAUCUCUUUUCCAAAUAACUUUGUAGCAUUAAUGCCCUUCUGUAGUACAUCAUACCACGAACUGCACAUCACAUUAAGAAAAACAACAUUUUGAAUAUACGGAGAAAAUAUCUCGAGGCCUACUUUUGACCAAACGAAUCACAAUCAUAUAUUGGAAAAACUACAGCAUGCACUGGCAGACUUAAAUAUGAGGUGAACCAAACCUGUUCUGGCUAAUGUUUGGCCUCGGUAAGAUGCCCAAAACCUGAGUUCCAAGGUGUCACUGGAGCUUUCUUGAAUUUCAGCAUCAGCAUUCCCGCCACGACCAAUUCGUUCCAAGAAAUUCUCCCAUUCAUCUAUUAUUAUAGGAGACUAGCUGGUUAUGCAUUUUAAUAGACCAAGGAAGAUUUAGUUCUAUUCAAAUGAAAGAAUGACUAGUUAAUCAGGGGAGUCCAUGCCAAGGAGUCCUCACUUAGGCAUCGAUCUAUUUAUCCAUUGUGUGUACCAAAGAGAAAGUGACCCCUAUGCUCUUGGUAUUACCAUAUUUUUUAAGACAUGUAGGAUAGAGAAGUGGAGUACUCAUUCAGGACUCCUAAGGGUAGCCUCUUUAUUAAUCAAACAAUUAGACCAGUUACAAUGUACGGAGAAACUGAAUAUUUCACACAGCAUUUUGAGCUUUCAAUACAGAAAACUACAUUAAUGACCUUCAAUACUACAUGUGUUAGUCAUACUCACAGACAGCUUCUAAUUCUUCAACAAAGAUUAUCAAGGAAAAUUCAAAAUUUCAUGCUUCCUCAGCACUAUGUUUUAUUUCUCUGCGUCAUCAAAUAUCAGAGUUUUAUACAACAUUCAACAGAAUUAUUUAGGACUUACUUGAGAGUAAACCACUUAUACAUGCUAAAAUUCUAUAUUUUUCUUCCUAAAUAGGAAAUUUGUGCUUUCAACCAGCUGCUGAAACAAAUGCAACAUAUAAAUCCUUGCCACUUGGACGCGUGGUUUCACUAGGCUACUUGUCAAUGAAACAAGACAGUUACAGGUAUCAGACAAAUUGAUAUGGAUAAGAAUAUUAUCAACUUCUCACCCGUCAAAAAAUUAUGAUGGAUCUUCUUCUCUAAGUUGCUGUCAUUUUAAUUGGAUAAAAUCACCAAUUGGGACUGACCAAGGAGAAAUCAAAUAAGAGAUAUGCACACAAGGCUUCUAAAACAUAGCAUAAAACAUUAAAUUUUACUCAUAUGUAUGAUGCAGCUUGGAGAAUACACCUGACUGACUGUUCACUGUACUAUAGUAGUGUGAGUCUCAAUUCAGUUUAGGACUUCAAGGAAAGAUGUGCAUUAAACAACUAGAAUAAAACCAUGGAAACAGUUAAGCAAUGUGAUGACAAUAAAAGUUCUUUCUUAAAACUGAAUACACUCUCAAAACAUCUCAUUUAUAUGUUUUUUUCCCAGAUUUCCAUAAAAAGGAGAACUAAAAUGAAGUACGACUGUUAUAAUCCUUUUCUCAUGUUUCUACUUGCAUCCACUGGAAUCAGAGCCAAAGACAAUCCUUAACAAAAAUAAAUGUCAAUUUGGAUGAUUAGUCCCGUGACCUUUUGAACUUGAAAACCAAGAAAAAAAGCAUAAUGAGGAGCUUCAAGAUUGUAGCCUAAGGUAGUCUUGGAGGAAAAGAAUUUGCCAAGCAACUAAAAAUACUAUAUUUCGAAUUUCUGCACAAUUUCAUGAUAUCUUUCCUAAAUAAUACUGUGGGUUUCCCUCUAAUAGUAAAUUAUGGUGUUGCUCAAAACUCUGAUCUGAAGGUGAUGCUUUGUCAAUUGUUACAUUUACAGAAUACUAGCAUUGCUUUUGCUUUACAGCCUAAUUGUGAUCUGAUGUUAAGAAUUUCAGAAGCUUGAAGAAUACAGUCUCCUGUUAUUUUUUUCAUCAAAACUUAUAGAUAACACGAUGUAGAAAGCUUUAAUGAGCAUAGAAUGGCAAAAAUUCAAGAACAUUAAAGCAAACCUCUUUUUCCGUACAUGUACACUGUAGAUUUAGAUUUUUUGCUGGAAUUCAGUUUUUAAGAAUAUUUUGUAGGUGGAAUCCCUUAGGAGAUUACAUACAGUAAACCAAGCAGCUGAAGAUGCUAAGAAACAGAGGAUAGGAGGCCUUGGGUGGAAAUUCGCAUGAUUAUCAUAAAUACAAAAAUUGGAGGACAAAGUUUUCCUCCAAGACCAAGAGGAGUAGCCGGUUACUGUUCUGGAAACUGUUGAUUGCAUACUCUAGCAGCACAAAUCUUGCAUUAGUUGAAGACAUUAGAGGUCAGAAUAUAUUCAUUUCCUAGUAGCAUUAAUACAAUUAAUUCUCCUAAACAUUGUGUUCGCAUUAGUUCUUUGAGUUCUCCCUUAAGAACCCUGGCUUCAUGCUCCUAUUCAAGGGUUAUUUUCCUGGUUUGCACUAAAAACAAGAAAUUUAAUCAGGGAUCAAUGUUUCAUUCCUUUCUGUCGCACUUCCACCAGCACCAACAGAUUUUGAAAGAAAAAGUUGUUGAAAGUAAAGAAAAUAUAUCAAUCUCAUCUAAUAGUUCAGCCAAAUAAAUCAGUAAACUAAGGAUGGGAACUUUUAAAGUGAGAAGAAAUAGAUUUGAGAACUACCAGGAAAUAUUUUCUGGAGAUAAAAAAGAGUAGAUAUGCCAUCUUCAUUCUCAACCCGCAACUCAGAAGAACUAUAAAGCACAGUCUCACUGUAAUAAGGCGUGAAGACACUGUUUUGAAGCAAAUAUGAAUCAUCAGAAAUUGUAAAAUAAAUUCAGAACAACAAAAGAUCAACUUGUAAGAAAUAAAGGUAUGUACCAAAAUGGGAUCAUUUCACAGACUGGCUUCGCGGCUGGCAUGUCCAUAAACAAAGAAUUUGUGAAAAACUCCAAUCUUCUUCUUGCUUCAAGAUUCUUAGGUAUAUUAGCCGCAGAAUCCUUGACUGUGAGAAGUAGGUGCAACCUCUUGACCUGCUCCUUCUGCGAAAAUUGAAGGAUUGAAUCAUUGGUUUAAUCAUGGAGACAUCCUAAAAAUCCAUAUAUUCCAAGUUUUAAAUGCUUACAACAGGAUCCUCGGGCCACCCUAUCCUAGAAAAGAGCCUUCCUUCAUUUCUUGCUCUCGCCAAUAUAUUCCAUGUAUCAAGCUGCUCCCUAAGCCAAAUAAAAGAAAAAAGGUUUUACUCUUUGAAGCUUGCAAUGGAAAGUGUGUUACAGAAGCAAAAGUUUUUAAGCACUAACCUUAGAUCUGAUGAUAGUAGCUCAUGUGUAACAACCUCAUAUAGAUCAAAUAUAGCUUUGGCAGCACCUUUUUCCAGAUCAGGAGUUCUAUUUCGUAUCUAACAUGACAGUUUAAAAGCUAUCAGAAUAACAUAAAUGAGGAAAGAUAUACUACGGAUCAACCUGAAAAAGAUGAUAAUUAAGCAUCGCCAGCUGUUUCAAACAAAGAACUAUUACUAUAAACAUGUAAAAACAAUUAAGAGCAUUACAUCAAAAACAUCCAUUUUCUUAGUUCCGCUGCACUAUUAUCAGUCAGUGUAUGGAAAGUAGUAGAGUUGAUUGUCAAUUGUACAAAGUGACGUACUAUAUGCAGUCUCACAAUUGAAGCAUGUGCAGAGUAUGAUUGCCAAUAUAAUUUUGACACAAAUAAACAAGACAAAAGUUGCAAGCGAAAUAGAAAGUAUAAUCAUUGAAAGUGUGCUGUUUCUAUGUCACUAUUAACAAACACACAGGAAACCUUCUCAAACAUUUUUUCCAAAAACAUUUGCAUAGAGAAAAUGAUACUCCACAAAGGUGCAAUUUACAGCAAUAUAAGGAACACAUCAAUCAAAGUCGUAUCCUAAACUCUUGUUAUUCCAACAUGUUACCAACUCGUGUUUCAGAAAUAACUCUUAACAGCUUUCUUUUAGCAUGAGUAUGGGGAAAAAGCAAUAUGCUAGUACACCAAGCAUUUAGAAGAAAAACCACCUAUGCAGUACAAAAUGAGGAUCACUAGGAUGAAAAAACACCAUGCUGUUUGCAUCAUGUUUUACCAGAGAUAUUGCCAAGUUGAAUGAUGGCAGCAGAAGUAAAAGCAUAACACUUCUUAUUGGUUACAUCAGUUAAUCAUUCUUGAAUCAAUUGGUUUCCUUAAUUUAUAAGGAAAAGUUACCAGCAGUCCAGUGAGUGCUGUAAAUCGCGAUAGAACAACAGGAAGCUUCUUAAGAUUAAGAGUGAUCACAAGUGAACCCUCCUGAAUACUGUUGUUGAUCUCACGAAAUAUCCUUUCAACCCUGUAAUGAAUGAAAAGAAGGAAACAAGAAUGAUCUGUAAACUUGGAAUGGUAAAUAUCUAACAAAAUAAAACUAAAUAUGAGCUUUAUGCACAAAAAAUAUUAGAAGAAAGUCAUACCAGAGUCUCCCUUCCCCAUCAACCAGAGAAUGUAAAACUUUUUCAAUACUGUAGUAGCACUCCUUAACAGCAUAUGCCAUGUAUUCAUCCCUGCAUAUUCUACUCCAGAGAUCUGCUUGUGUAUCUUUGCAAUCCAGAGCUAAAUCAAUUGCCAAUAAGAUCUGAAAAAUACACAGCUUAAUAAUACUUACAAAAAGAACAUCCACCUCCAAGUACUUCAGUAAUUAAGAGAGUAGCAUAAAGAUAAUUGAUAACACCUUACUGCUAAGAAGAAACAGAGGCCAUUGAACCAAUCUAAUAAUUCCUAUGUUGCUCGGCAUUGAUAGCAAGUCCAUCUCUCUGGAAUAAAAUGGAAACCAGGAUGUAGUGGUGGUGGGCAGGGGUUAGCAAAUGCCAAUAAUGAGAAUUAAUUUGGAUUCAGAGAUGCAAUCGUUACACAAGUUUUCAACACCAAGUACAAAAGUGUCACCAAUUUACCUAUUACUAAUAUAAUCUUCUUCACGUAAGCUUUUGAUGAUCUCAUUCCAAAAUGGAGAAAAUAUAGCUGCAUACUCUUUGUUAUUAUCAUGAGAAUCCUGAAAGGAAAUAUCCCUGUUCAGAGCAAUAAUAGAUGCGGCAAAAAUAAUUUUGGAAAAUAAGUUUUCUAAUUCAGGAAACAUCCAGGACAAGUGCCCUUGUUGUAAAACGAUUUGAAUAAACCCAUUCAUCACUUGGCAACAAGAUACUAGCAGUGGGUAGGAAUUGCAGAUGCCCUUGAUGACAGGUUAGCAUAGCUAAGGAGGAAAGAGGGGAGGAAGGAGGGGAGCGGUAGCGGUCGUGGAGGGUGCCGGGGCUGGUUGGGGGAGGUUGGGUGGGGAAAGUGAGAGAGUGGUGGGGGUGGAAGAAGAAGAGGUGACCGUGGCAUUGGUGUGCUUUAUAGGUUGCUUUUUGGGAGCUUACUGUAAAUUUUGUUGGAAAAGCACCCAUUGCAUUUUUAAAAUUUACAAGAACUAGCAACAAAAACUAGUGACCACCUCCAACUAAUCAUGCAUAUGGGCAGGAGGGUGUCCCCCAAUGUUCCCAACACAGAAAAAUGGAGAGACAACAAAAAGGAGCCUUGGUGCAAUUAUCAAAAUCAGGAAAUAAGUAAACUAAGAAGGAAAGCUGCAACUACAACAGUUGUAUAAACAAGUACAAACUCAGAACAGUUGAAGAACAAGACUUGUUUAACAUGCAGUUAAAUUCCAGCAAUAGAAUUACGUUAAAGCAUCCAAAUCACAAUACUUUAGUGGAGCAGCUCCAAGGACUCUAAAACACUUUUGGAGGUGUCAUUCACUUUAUUAUGAUCUACUUGUCAUGUCAUAACAAUAUAAAUUGAAUUGAGACGAAAAUCACUUUACUUAAUGACCAAAGUAUCAAAAAUGUACCUAGAGAAGUGGCAUGAAUUAACAAAAACUAAACACAGAGAGAAGGAAAUUUUAAUUAAUUGUCAAACAUAACUGCCAUCUAAAGCUAAAAUGAAUUUUCUAAUUGUGGUAUGACCCCCAGACAUCCUCAGACUAUCUUGCCACAAGUUUUAUUUAGCUUUCCAAGACUAGAAGAACUGGCCUGGCAAGAGUCACCAUGCUGACUCAUUUCUUUCUUCCAGUAGCACAUGUAGAGCUGAUCUUUUACAAUGAUUGUUAAAGUCAUGAUAAUCUUUAGCUGGAAAAGCCCAAAAUAUGCAGCAACUAGAAAUUGUAUUGCAAACAACCCAAGUGCCAAAACAGAUUCAAAAACUUAAUGGAAAAUGCUUUUGCAACAAAACAGAUUCAAAAACUUAAUGCAGUAAUCUACCUGCAACAUCUUUCUCAUGCCUCGUAUUCAAUUUGACAUCUCAAGUAUUAUUUCGUCUCCAACAAAAAUUAACUCAGAGAUAUCAAAAAUUUGAACAAAAAGUUAAUGUAAUAAUCUACCUGCGAAUGUUGUUGGUCAAAGGGCAUCCUGCAAAAGGCAGUAAAUAUAAUCAGCAAAAUGACUGAGGUAAUAGAAAUUCGAGCAUUGCCAAGGUAACCAGAUUCUGUUAGAUCAAGACAUUUAUGCUACCUCUUAAUCUGGGAAGAGACCAGAUUCUUGAAAAAGGCUUCUGGAAAGCUCUCAAAACGUCUAUGUAGCAUUUGAAUUGAACGGAUCUACCAAAAUAAAUUUUUUUAAAUAAUAAUUGAGAUUGCAUAAGUAUAAUGCUAACCAAAGUGACAGUAACAUACAGUCACAGAUUUCAAAGACAUGACCAAGAAAAAUAAUUCCUACACAAAAUAAACCAGCUAAUUCUAGCCACAUAUUGGUACCUCUCCUAGACGAGCCCGUGCACCCAUCACAGCACCAACAAUUGCAGACAACAGAGUAUACCAAAUGUGAAUAUCCAUGAGAUAAAUCUGCAGAUACAGAAAAUCAAAGCAAAAACACAGAAACAACUUAGUACAACCGAUAAUCAAAGUAGCGGGUAAAUUGGCAAAAGAACAAAGCACAACACCUUGUGAGGUUUUUCAGCUUAUAAGAAAGUUUAAAAGCAGCUUUAUACAUCAGUCUGAAAUUUUUCUCAAAAUUUUCACCUAACAAUGCACCAGAGCUUGUCUGGUGGAUUAUCUCAAGGAAGCCAAGCAAGCAGUUAAUAUCAUGCAAGACUGGUAAACAAUUUACAUUGCAAUAGGACAUAAUAAUUGAAAAGUUAGCUUCUUCACAUUCUAACUUCUUCACAUUCCUAAGAUUCACAAAAUCUGAUUCAUUAUAUCAUUUCUUUGGAAAUACAGACAGAUGAGGGUAGGUAGAUUCAGGCAUUCUUGCGUCUCCACUCACAGGCACUUGGUACCUUGUACAGGGUAAUAUGUUUUUGAUGCUCUCUGAUAGUUGUAUUUAUGUGACUAGUAGUUCAUUGAUUUGUCCACUACUUCAGAUAUUAUCAAUUAAUGCUCUUACAGGUUUUAGAGCAACUAGAAACUGACUGAACAAGAGAACGUGCCCAGACAAAGAGUCAAAACUUUGGUUCCGUAUUUUGCAAAACCUUUAUCAGAACCAGUACCUUCAGUAGUACUUUAUUCCAAAGUGAAAAAUAUGGAGAGGGGAUCACUUUAUUCUUCUCCAAAUUUUCAGCAACCAGAGAGCACUUCAUCAAAUUGGGGUUACAAUGACAGGCAAUUAUUGCUUUUUUCUCUUGAAUGUUUUAAAUCUUAUUAGCAGAUUUACCUAAUAAGUGCCGGAGAAGGUACACUUAGUGUACCAUCCUUUUCAUCUCCUAUAUACCCACACUUUACGCUGCAUCAUUCUUCUUGUUAUCAAAUCCUAGGCUAAAAGACAGCUCAAACAUUCUUUUGUUAAAUUAAAAGCAAGAAAAAGUAGCACACAGAAGGAAUUGUUCCAUCAGGACUCUUUCAUGUUUCUACAGCUGGAAACCAUGUACUUCAACAAAGGACAAAAGGAACAGAAGACAUUCAGCAGGCAAUCCUAUCAAUACCAAGACACCUAUGUCAAGCCAUAUCUAGCUUCAAAAUUCAGAUGCUCAGAGCUACAAAACCAGUUCCACAUGAUUAUUGAAUAUCGGAAUAAACAGAAUGAAUUAGAUAAUACUCACAGCCACAACAGGAGUCCAAAGGCUAGCUACUGUCAAUGCAUUAUUAUUGCCUGCCACAGAACAUGAACAACAAUUAAAACAUAGACAAAACUAUUCAGGAAUCAAUUCUGUAUCACUUCCCCACAACAAUCACUAAAUGGGAACAAUUAGUAUAAUAAUUCUGCACUUUCAUCUGAGCUGAUAAGUUGUAGUAACUAUGAGGAGCUACAUCCCUCGAAGCACCAAAAAAAAAAAAAAGGAGUAGACUGGUUCUGUAGAUUGUUCAAUAACUUCUUGUAAUAUUAACAGAUAACUGAUGCCAUCUAAAUUUAGAAGCAUAUAAUUGUCUGCUUAAUCGACAGAGAAGCAAAUCGGUGGAAGCUAUAGCAAAGAUUUAAAAGAAGAACGAAUUCGGUUCCUCUUCUUGCUGAAAUACAGAAGGUGAAAGCAGAACCAGAUUCCUUGAAAUUUGGUGACAAGAAACACUGCCUUAGGGUUAAGAAAAGGGCCCAACCCCUCCCACCACCAUAUACAAGACUAAGCAUUAAUUGGCAAAUCUCCUUUUACACCUGUAUAGCAACUCUGCUCAAGGUAUAUAACUCGAAGAUGAUAAUGACAUGAAUAAAUAAAAUUAUCCAAAUCCACCAUUAAAAAAGAACUACAUUAAAUGGGAAAAAAAUAUAUCCAGUUCAAAUGAGACAAAUAAAUGAUAAAUACAUAAAAAGGCUUACUCUUUGAUACUAGAUCAUGCCACGAAUAUUGCAAGGAUGGAAGAUUUACAAUGAUAUUGGUCGGUUCAACUAGUGGUUUAAUCUGCACCAAUUAACAACAGAAGAAUAAGGUGCACUCUUCUGAUCUAGCCCAGCACAUGUAAGCGAUAAUACAAUAUCAAUUUUGCAUAUUGUGAGUCAGUGUAUGGUCUAUACUUUAUUAAUCCAAAUAUCAAGCUUUAUGAGUGUCAAGUUCAGCGAAAGUGACUUGCCUGAAGAAAGUAUGCAAACGUGAACUUGCAAACAAAGAUUACCAGCCAGAAAAGCACAUAUCUGCAGCAGCACAAGACACAAGUAAUUCAGCAUUGCAGCACUAUAACAAGACAGGCAGUGGUGGAGAAUGAGUUACAUCAUGCAGCAUUUGCACAUCUAACCAUCCAUUCAUGUAAAAGAAUGGCAGUUUUCACAUAAAAAGUUCAGCCAAUAAAAAUAACAUGGAGAAGCUGAAGAAAUGCUAGUUUGAUAGCACAAAGUGGAAAACCAUGAGAAAGCAAUUUUAAGUCCUGUACUGUCUCCCAUUCUUUACCAAACCCCGGGUAUAUUAAUUAAGCAUAUAACUUAAAGUAAUGCAACCAUUCAGCUUUUUAGGACAUAGUCUGCUUUAGUUUUAUCAAAAGCAGCAAGGGAAACCAUUCACAAGACAUAGUCCUCUUUCAAUUCCUUUUUCCAUUGUUGUUUGUUAGAUGGUGGAAGAAUUUGUAACCAAGAAAUCUGAACCUAAAGCAAAUUCUGGAACUCCAAUGUAUUAUAUUCAGAGACUUCAAGCAGCUAACGGAUGUGAUCCAUGGAAAUAACUAAAGCAUCCUUUUGACAAGGCAAGAUUUCACAUAGUAGUAGACACAUUUCAUUGCAACAGAGAGAAAGUAAUUGUACCAAUAGAAGACUCGUGACCAAAACUUAGAGAAAACAAUUGCAUGCAGUAAGGCCAGAACUACAGUCUUGUGUAUGUCCAAACUAGGUUAAAAAAUAAAAAAACUAGGCACCAAAAUCAAGGUCCAAAGAGGAAAAAAACAAACCUUAAAUAGUCAGUUGUUUUUUCAACAAGACCUCGGCCAACAAAAUAUCGCUCCUGUCAAUUUAUUCAAGCACAAUAACAAUUGGAAUGGUUCAAGAAAAAUUUGAAGUGCACCAUUGCUCAGAUCCAUAUUGUUACCUGAUAGAUCCACUUGAAAAACUGAAAGAACGACUGAUCAGCCAUUUCAGAAAAUGUGUGACACGCUGGUAUUUUCAAGAAAAGGGCCAAAAUAAGUCGUAGUCCAGCAUAAACGCCCAGAACCAGGACAUAUAUCCGAAAGUAGAGGGGAUCUGUAUUUUUAUUUCUUUCCUGCAAAACUUUUCUGAAAUUUGGUAUAGGUUAUCAGCAACAAUUUUGCAUCAGCAAAUAUAGUUGGAAAAACUAAAAACCAGGGUUUAGACUCACAUAUAAACAUAUGUCACAAAGACAGAGCUCAGACCCCACCAAAAAAACCUAAUAACAAGCCUUGAGAUAGCCAUGGCUCUCGCUGUUGUAUAAGCACCAAACAUAAGUAGGACAUCCAAAGAACCUAUGAACAGAUCCAAGCAUGCAACAGUAAGUUUAAGAUCUCACAACUCAUCAAAGAAUUUAAAUUAGAAACUGAAGCAGAGCAUAACUUACUUUCCACAAAAUUCAUGAUUGCAAAUGUUGGACCCACACUAAGUACUGUCUUGAAAGUAUUGAGAUUAAUUUUUCCACCAUUAAAGGCAAUAAUGGUCAAGAUCUGAAAUCAGAGUAUUCCAGAUUAUGCAGGGAACAAUCAACGAUUCAACAUCUCAUAAAAAAAAAACACUGGAUGUGGAAAUGACCUGAAACAUUACAGCCAAAAAUAUCCACAUACGAUGAAAACUUUGAUACAAGUGAAGAAAAGUCCGAUGCUCGACAAAUGUGCUUUUACCUGUCUGCACAAGUAGAUAAAUUAAGACAAAAGGUAAAGUUAUGACAUAAAGAUCAAGCAGAAGCUAAAACAUUUACCCCAUAAAAGAAUAUACACAAGAUCAAGUCACAGAAAUGCUUGAUUAUAAUAACAAGCAUUAUAGAAGUUCAGUUAAGAACAAUAGUAAGCAACCAAGUACAGCACAGCCAAGAAUUUGACUUACUGUUAGCUUCAUAAUACACACCAGAGCUGAAUGCAAAUCAAUGCAGCCAAGCAUAAAAUCAUCAGUGUUAAAGUGACUCAGUAUUGGAUGACUAAAUGAACUUCCCAGGGAACCGACACAGUCCAACAACUCCAAUGCUAAUUCCAGUGACAAGAUGAUAUAGAACUUCAGGCUCCAUAACGCUGGUUAACUACUAAGCUACAGCUCUGAACUCUGUUUUUGAUGGCAAAUCACUUCUGUACUGUACAACAGCAUUUAUUUAAUUAAAAGUGGGAGUUUGAGUCAGGUGAUUUAGAUUUUUAUUUCCUCAAUGCCCUCCUAUAAAUAUCAAUGGCUGCAUUAUGUCUCCACAAUUGAAAGCCCCUUCUGUAAUUUUCAGGUUACUUCUGUAAUACCAACAUUGAGGUUCAUUUUUAGGAAUAUAGUUUUAUUUAAUUAAAUUUCCUUCAUUUUAUUAAGGCAUAAAAUUUAAAUUGAAAGGAUAUUCUUGAGGAAGAAGUUUUCCAUAGUACACAUCAAACAAGAAUGCAAAAAUCAGAUAUAAUAUGGCUUUUAGGUUUGAUCAUUUUAAGAAUUGAUAUCAGGCAACAAGAACAAGAAAAUUUCUUGGCAAGACAAACACAUGUGAGGCUUUGAAACCUACCACCAUGGGUAAAUACUGUUAAGCCGUAACUCCUAUAUCUAUAGAUGAACACAGGAAGAAGAAUUAGAGUCUUAUUCUAAUUUUGAAACCUGUAUCAACAUCUUUCUUACUAACACAAUUACUAAACCGGUAAUUGAAUUUUCUUUUUGACAUUCUUCUGUACUUAAUUUGAGUUAUGACAGCCUAUGAAAUUCUGCAUCAGAGUACUGGGUCUGCACUCUCAUAUUUGUAAUAAUAGAAAACAAAGGCUUGAUAAUCAAAAGUUAAAGCCAAUUCAAUAUUAAUUAAUUGAUAAAAGAUUCACGUUUUAUUUGAAUUUGCAUCGUUUUUAACUUCCUCCGAUAUUACAACCUAGUAACCAGCUAUAAAUCAAGCCAAUCCUCUCCACAAUUGAAUGCUUAUUCCAGUACAACUAUUUAAAUGGAGUUCUGAUCAACUGCAGUUGAGUUGCAAGUGUGAGCAACUUAGUUGAAAUAAGUCCACAAAGAUCAUCUUCUUGGUGGCCUAUAGUUGCAAAGGGCGACGUAGAUAUUAUUGCAAAAUAAAGUUUACCUUUCCAUUUGUGGUCAGUAAUCAUACAAUUUGUGCUCACUUAUAAAAAUUGUCACUUUCAGAUAACCGUUUAGCAGUGAUAUAAGGGAGAUAAUUUUGGCCCAAGAUUUCUAGACUUAAUAAGGUGCCUUUCAUCCAUUUAGGUUGGACACGGACUUGUGAUGGCCUAAUUUGAACUCAAUCUAAUUCAGCGAACAAAUAUAUAAAGGCUUGAAAUUCAAUGCAUACAUUUUCAAGAUAAUCAACCCUUGAUGCAGAAAUCACCAGCAAGCGAACAUGUAUAUAUUGUCAAAUUCACCAAAAACCACAUAAGUAUAAACUAUAAAGUGUACAACUUUGUGUCCGAAAGUCCUAUAUUCAAUGAAGUAAAAUAAUAAGAUGCUGAGGAUAUUUUGGCUUGCUCACUAUGUUGUCUUAGAUGUCAACUGCAUGACAUUAGUCUAGCUAAGUUCAUUUGGAUAGUAGUAUAACCUUGGUUCACAAGCAUUUACUUGGAGCAAUGAGCACGAAUAUUGGAGCACAAGCCACCUCAAGGUUGAACUAAGAAAAUCAAAAUUCAAACUUUUUCUAAGCAGAGCAACUUACAGCAUUUAAAACAAAAGGAGAGCAAUGAAUGUGAAACUAAUUAUUUAUCUUUUUCUGUUGUGUGAUCACAAAAAAGUUUUGCCUCCUAACUCUCCUUUUUGAAACAAGCACAAAAGUCAACUUAGUUCCAGUUUACAUUUAUGGGGAUAUAACAUGCCUUCCAACAAUUAGGUUUUCUGAGAUGAGGCCUUUGAAGCCUAUCUAACUUUACUCAACUUCUAAGAAACUUUAACAAAGUGAAAUUUUUAAGCAACGCUAUCUUAACAAUCUAUACUAGCUUCCUCAGGGGCAUAGACACAAAUAUAAUUUGCUUUUAGGCAAAAUUUUACACAAUGAUUCUCAGUAAUGUUUAAAUCUUUUCAUUCUUACAUCAAAAUGAACAUAAUGUUUCAAUGCCUAUUGAGAUUUAGUUUAGCAUACUUGAUGCUAAACUAUAAUAUGAAGUCAUUCAACUAUUUUUCCCAUAUGAUAGUAAGUUAAUUCAAUUUAGGAAAAAUGCAUUUAACUUUUCUUAGUUUCUUUGUUGCCUUUCCUACAAUUAUACCUGAAAACCUAGGUAAAGUUCAUAUUCAAAUUAAGAUGAGCUAUAUGUGUUUAAGAUGUUUUAGAUUAUCUAAAGUUCAGAGUUUUAAAGAUUUCCCUUCUAUUAUACAAAUAUUCCAAAUCAUAGGGAAAUCAACCAUUUGAUGCAUCGACCAUAUAUUUAAGGUUAGGGAGAAUAUCAAUGAAAUUUAUCCAGAAGUAACGCAAUUAAAAGAGUGGAAAAGGAUAGGCCAAAUGGACAAAAUACAAAGAUAACAUUAUCUAGGAUAUAAUUUAGAAUCAAAACAGGAUUUUUAUACACAUGAAAAACAUGAAUCUUUGUCGCAUGAAAUAACUUUAGUAAACUGUAAUUUUAAUAGCAAAAUGUUUGCUCUUUUGUUGCAAUACAAUAACUUCAGUUUGCGUUUGAACAUAACUUCAUUAUAAGUUGGCAAUGGUUUUUCUUUUAUGGAAAAAGGUACUGUUUACAUGAAAAUGUUACCAAUUAAGUAAAUAAAAUACACCCAUUAUUCAAAUGUUAAUAAAUGUCAACCCAAAAAAAUACUUCUGUAUUUUCUCCUUCUUACUAAUCUUACAGGGUAAAUAAUACCCAAAUUUUCAUCACAAAAAGUGACCUGUCACACAUGUAAUGCAUGUACGCUCAAACUACUUAUGUAAAGCAGCUAAGCCAAAGGAUUAAACAAAGUGAUUUUGGUUCAUAAGCUGCCAAUAGCAACUCAGCAAGCUAAGAGAAACAACAUCAACUCUGAGGAAAUGACGCAUCACAGGUGCAGUAGUCAAAAUCUCAAUUCUUCCCCAUUUCCUCAUACCCAGAAUUACCCAUGACACAACAGUAGGAAAAAAUAAUUAAAAAAAAAGGAGAAAAGAUUAGUUCCCUCUUUUGUUUCCAAC